AUGAUAUGAAGCGAGAAAUACCACUAUUCAGAUCAGACAUUUGUGGGGAAACUACAGAGUUAAUAAUGAACAGAACACAAGGCAGUUGAGAAUAUGCAAGCGAAAGUGGUGAUGGGAAAGAGUUACAGGAGAAGAAUAAAGACAAAUAGCAGAUGAAUAAAUUUUUUCUAGUCUCAUCAACUAAAUGUAUUCUGCUCUCUUUGCUGGCUGGUAAGACACCAUCACACCUCUGAUUACUUAACCAGGACUCUUCGUCUUACACAAUUCACCACCCAGAAGGCUUUGGAGUUCCCGUCUACAGAGCAAUGUGCAAUGCAACCCAAAGCAACAACAUACCAGAAUUUUCAGAAUCCACACACUGUGUCACCCACAUCAUCAUCCAUUAUCCAUUUUUCUGCCAAGGCUGAGAAAACACUGGAGGAUGAAAACACUUUCGCCUGACAUUGGGAAAAAAUGAAUAACACACUGAACAAGCAGUUGUUCGGGGACUGUAUUUCUUCCCGGCGUGUAAAUGACUGCUGCCACGCUGCUCCUAGAUUGAUAGAAAGAUGAAUGGACAGGGUGGCCUGGUCUCCACCAGUCUAUUUCAAAGGCGACAAGACCCUCACGACCCUUAG